UACGGAGGGUGCAAGCGUUGUUCGGAAUUACUGGGCGUAAAGGGCGUGUAGGCGGAUCAAGAAGUCGGGUGUGAAAGCCCUGGGCUCAACCCAGGAAGUGCGCCUGAAACCAUUGGUCUUGAGUUCCAGAGGGGAGCGGGGAAUUCCCAGUGUAGAGGUGAAAUUCGUAGAUAUUGGGAGGAACACCGGUGCCGAAGGGGCCGCUCUGGAUGGAUACUGACGCUGAGGCGCGAAAGCGUGGGGAGCAAAC
rnacentral:rRNA from 1 species